rnacentral:rRNA from 1 species
UUACUAGAGCAAAGGAUAGACAGCGCCCGCGGAGCUCGCUCCCGGGGCUACCCUACUCCCGUAGGGUUUAGAGUCGUCGGGCCUCUCGGAGAAGCUCGGUCCUGAACUCCACCCUUGAAUAAACUACCUUUGUUGCUUUGGCGGGCCGCCUCGUGCCAGCGGCUUCGGCUGUUGAGUGCCCGCCAGAGGACCCCAACUCUUGUUUUUAGUGAUGUCUGAGUACUAUAUAAUAGUUAAAACUUUCAACAACGGAUCUCUUGGUUCUGGCAUCGAUGAAGAACGCAGCGAAAUGCGAUAAGUAAUGUGAAUUGCAGAAUUCAGUGAAUCAUCGAAUCUUUGAACGCACAUUGCGCCCUCUGGUAUUCCGGGGGGCAUGCCUGUUCGAGCGUCAUUAUAACCACUCAAGCUCUCGCUUGGUAUUGGGGUUCGCGGUUUCGCGGCCCCUAAAAUCAGUGGCGGUGCCUGUCGGCUCUACGCGUAGUAAUACUCCUCGCGAUUGAGUCCGGUAGGUCUACUUGCCAGCAACCCCUAAUUUUUUUAAGGUUGACCUCGGAUCAGGUAGGGAUACCCGCUGAACUUAAGCAUAUCAAUAAGCGGAGGAAAAGAAACCAACAGGGAUUACCUCAGUAACGGCGAGUGAAGCGGUAACAGCUCAAAUUUGAAAGCUGGCUCUUUUAGGGUCCGCGUUGUAAUUUGUAGAAGAUGCUUCGGGUGUGGCCCCGGUCUAAGUUCCUUGG